UCGGGAAUUUUGGGCAAUGGGCGAAAGCCUGACCCAGCAACGCCGCGUGAAGGAUGAAGUAUUUCGGUAUGUAAACUUCGUAAGAAUAGGAAGAAUAAAUGACGGUACUAUUUGUAAGGUCCGGCUAACUACGUGCCAGCAGCCGCGGUAAUACGUAGGGACCAAGCGUUGUUCGGAUUUACUGGGCGUAAAGGGCGCGUAGGCGGCAUGACAAGUCACUUGUGAAAUCUCUGGGCUUAACCCAGAACGGCCAAGUGAUACUGUCGCGCUAGAGUGCAGAAGGGGCAAUCGGAAUUCUUGGUGUAGCGGUGAAAUGCGUAGAUAUCAAGAGGGACACCUGAGGUGAAGACGGGUUGCUGGGCUGACACUGACGCUGAGGUGCGAAAGCCAGGGGAGCAAACGGGAUUAGAUACCCGGGUAGUCCCUGAGCGGGCUGGCAAGGCGCAU
rnacentral:rRNA from 1 species